GGUCCAGACUCCUACGGGAGGCAGCAGUGGGGAAUAUUGGGCAAUGGGCGCAAGCCUGACCCAGCAACGCCGCGUGAAGGAAGAAGGCUUUCGGGUUGUAAACUUCUUUUAUGAGGGACGAAAGAAAUGACGGUACCUCAUGAAUAAGCCACGGCUAACUACGUGCCAGCAGCCGCGGUAAUACGUAGGUGGCAAGCGUUAUCCGGAUUUACUGGGUGUAAAGGGCGUGUAGGCGGGACUGCAAGUCAGAUGUGGAAACUAUGGGCUCAACCCAUAGCCUGCAUUUGAAACUGUAUUUCUUGAGUGCUGGGGAGGCAAUCGGAAUUCCGUGUGGAGCGGUGAAA
rnacentral:rRNA from 1 species